CAGGGAGAGAGAAGUACAAGCUGUGUGUGUCUGUUCCUCCAUGUUUUACCCCCUUUGUGUGUGAAGUAUGCGUCCUUGACUUGAAACCAUACUUUUCAUACUUUACAAGCUCUGUAUUCCACUAAGCCUGUGUGCAAGUAAAGUGCUGCUGUGUAACACA